rnacentral:pre_miRNA from 1 species
AUGCAGAGCAGUCUGUCUUUAAGUAGAGAUAAAUUACUCUGAAAAAAAAAAAUGAAUCCUAGAGAGUGUUUCCUUCAAAUCAAAUGUUUAAA